AACGAACGCUGGCGGCAUGCCUAACACAUGCAAGUCGAACGAGACCUUCGGGUCUAGUGGCGCACGGGUGCGUAACGCGUGGGAACCUGCCUUUAGGUUCGGAAUAACAGUGAGAAAUUACUGCUAAUACCGGAUGAUGUCUUCGGACCAAAGAUUUAUCGCCUUUGGAUGGGCCCGCGUUGGAUUAGCUAGUUGGUGGGGUAAAGGCCUACCAAGGCGACGAUCCAUAGCUGGUUUGAGAGGAUGAUCAGCCACACUGGGACUGAGACACGGCCCAGACUCCUACGGGAGGCAGCAGUGGGGAAUUUUGGACAAUGGGGGCAACCCUGAUCCAGCCAUG
rnacentral:rRNA from 1 species